UGGGGAAUAUUGCACAAUGGGGGAAACCCUGAUGCAGCGACGCCGCGUGAAGGAAGAAGUAUUCUCGGUAUGUAAACUUCUAUCAGCAGGGAAGACAAUGACGGUACCUGACUAAGAAGCCCGGCUAACUACGUGCC
rnacentral:rRNA from 1 species